GGUUUCUGUUCAUAGUAAACGGCAAGUAAUGGAAAGUUUUGUGUGAAAAAUAUGAGUGUCACUAAAAAGGUUGUUAAAAAAAUUAGAGCAAGAAAUCCUCUUUCAGAAGAUGACAGUGAUGUCAGCUACGAUAAGGGAGACUACGAGAGUGAUGAUGACAAGAAGAGGGAACCAGAAGAAGAAAGAGUUCCCGCAGACACAUUGGGAUCUUUGGGGUUGCCUUCGUUCCCAGAAUGCAUAGUUUCUCGGGAAGAUUGGGGUGCUGCAAAGAAGAAGAGGAAAGGACUAGCUUUGAAACAUCCUGUGGCUAAUGUUACAAUAACUUACAAAACUGACGUACCAAAGUGCACGUCUGAUGAAGAAUGUGUUAAAGUAAUACAGGAGCUGCAGAAGAAACAUAUCUCGGAAGGGAUGUCGGACAUAGCGUUCAAGUAAUGGUUUUCUUAUCGGAGCUGACUAUAGGGUGUAUGAAGGAAGAGGGUGGGAAAUCCAACCAGAACCAAAAUACCAAUAUCCUGAGCUUCGUGGUAAGAGGCUAGAUAUCGCCUUUUUGGGAGACUAUAGUGGUAAUGAAAACCAAGAUAUCGCCAUGGCUGGAUUGGCUAUAGACCUAGCUCAUUAUGGAGUCACUCAGGAAUUUUUACUGAAAAGAUACCGUCUGAUAGAAAGCGAUUGUUGUCUGGGAAGUUGUGAUUACGAACCUGGCAAGAAAGAAGAGCAUCCGGAGUAUGCGUUUAGAAUAGAAGACUGGUAUCCUGAAAAUCCUAAAAUAGAAGAGAAACCAAAGAGCUUAUUUGAAGAGAUAGGUGAUCGAGAAAACGUCUGGGAUGAUUAUUGAUACUUGAAAUAGAUCAAGAUUGUGAAUGUAAAUGUUUACUAUGUAAUGUGGUAUUGGCAAAAUCAAAGUACUUUUUUCAAAUUGGUACAUCUUCAUAAAUGACUAUUUUAAACUAAAUUAACAUUGACAAGUUCAAGUGUAGAUGAAAAGUGACGAUGCAGAUGAUAUUCUACCUGUCAAAUAUGAGAUAACGUGUUUGAAAAUAUGCUAAAAAAGUAUUAAUACUUAAAAAGUAAAUAAAAUAAUCUUUGUA